AACCGCGGCUUCUCCGAUACAACUGCCCGUUUGACGAGCGUCGUCGACCUGAAUCGUCGAAUCCGGAAACCGGCCUAAAAAUCAGGCUAACAGACUAUAAUAAAAUGACCAGGACUGAUUUAAUGAUUUAUUCAGAAACGUCUUCGAUCCUGAUAACGAGAGAGAGAGAGAGAGAGAGGGAAAGAGAGAGACUCGAAAGUAUGUAAACCCGUUUGCCGAAUUACACGUCACGAGGCUAAUAAAAAGCUCUUGUGUUGGAUCCCACGUGAAGUCGACAUAUUUUCCAGUCGACGAUUAAAAUGUAUGCACGCACACAACAUACGAGCAAUUUACUAACCGGCCAAUAUUAUCGACGGUACGAAUACGAAGAUAUUAAUCUACAUUAACCGUAUGUACACAUGCGUAUACAUAUAUGCGUGCGCACGUAUAAUAAUAUCAAGUAUAUACAGCAACGUGAGGUACUAAUAAAUUAAUCUUUCUUUAGAUCGUUCCACGUACAUACUCCACGCAGUCCAACGAUCGAAGAAAAAAAAUGAAAAAAAAAAGAAAUCACGUUUUCAUCGAUUAUUCCCCCCCACGAAGACUUUCAUCGAGUACCGUCGAGGUGAUUCAUUUUGUAAUUAGCUACUCGUCGUCUCCCUCGGCCUCGAUUAAACGACGUCGGAUGUUUUAUUAAUGUAUUUACAGACCCUUUCUUAGAUUUAUCGGGUACCCUUAAAUUACGCCGCGAUUGGCUCUUCUCAUAUAUUGUCCCCAUAGAGGUCGGUUCAUGAUAAAUUGGCACUCGAGUCCGAGACCAAUUACCAAUCGCUUUUAAUUUAAUUCGACUUUCAUGCUCGAGUAACUAACGGGAAGUGUUCCUAACGAAGUCGAGUUUUGGUGUUUCCCUUCUCACUUUGAAAUUCACCCGAGUACCUGUAUACUCACGUAAAGGGUUAAAACAAUGAAUUAGACAAUAAGAAGCAAGACCUCUCUCCGUAGCAUUCGGCGACCGAGGGGGUAAAGACCAAACUCGGUAGAGUUUCGCACCAAGUACACGUAUAAGGGGAUGUAAAAGAACCUCAGAUGCGAAACUCCCCCAUCAGUAUCUAUAAAAUUUAGUCUGGAAACUUUGGAUAGAAGAUAUAUAGAUAAUAUAUAUUUUUUUCUUCUUCCAGAUCAUUUGAUCGCGAUGACAAUGAAUUUCUCGGCCAUUUAGGUCCAUCGAUCGCCGUUGCAACGGAUAGAAUCGACAAAUCUUGGAAUUACGUCUACGAUUGCUGUCAACGAUUACAACGAACAUGGGCACAUGUAACAAUUACAGCAAUAUCUAUCUCGGAGUGACUUCCCCAGGGUUGUCGCAUCACUUUCGAUCGGAUUCGAUAAUAUCCGGAACAACGUUUCGCGGUAUAAAACUAACUUUCACAAGCUAACAAUCGAAACACCGUCGUUUAAUCAUCGUACACUGCGAGAAUGAUGUGACAAUGGUAUUGCAGAAGUGGGUCAAUAAAACCGUACCUUUAAGCAUAUUGCGGGACAAAAGUGCCGAGGGCAACGCAUUUGUCGUCAUAACCGGUAAUUAAAUGCCUAUUAGCGUAACGAUCGGUGGAAUUGAAAUUGAUACUGACGUAACGAUACAGAUCCUCGGUCAACAGUCCCUGUUGACAAGAACGUUAAUAGUAGCAGUUAAAA